GGGCAAGUCUUAUACGACCAGCUCCUGGCAAACCCUCCAGGGUCGGAAGGCAGCAAAGGUAGUCGGUUGUAGCGGUGCGAUGUAAGUAACUUGCCUUUU
rnacentral:SRP_RNA from 1 species